GAUGAACGCUGGCGGCGUGCCUAAUACAUGCAAGUCGAGCGAACAGACGAGGAGCUUGCUCCUCUGACGUUAGCGGCGGACGGGUGAGUAACACGUGGAUAACCUACCUAUAAGACUGGGAUAACUUCGGGAAACCGGAGCUAAUACCGGAUAAUAUAUUGAACCGCAUGGUUCAAUAGUGAAAGACGGUUUUGCUGUCACUUAUAGAUGGAUCCGCGCGGCAUUAGCUAGUUGUUAAGUUAACGGCUUACCAAGGCAACGAUGCGUAGCCGACCUGAGAGAGGGGUAGCCGACACUGGAGCGGAGACACGCUCCAGACUCCUACGGGAGGCACCAGUAGGGAAUGGUCCGCAAUGGGCGAAAGCUUGACGGAGCAAGGCGGAGUGAGUGAUGGAGGUCUUCGGAUCGUAAAACUCGGUUAUUAGGGAAAAACAGCUGUGUAAGUAACUAUACCCGUCUUGACGGUAACUAAUAAGAAAGCAACGGCUAACUACGUG
rnacentral:rRNA from 1 species